rnacentral:rRNA from 1 species
AUGGAAGGUCUUCUGCAUUGGGAUUUUUCCCCCGACCUUGCCGUGGCAGCUCAGGUGCGUCGAUGUUUUGGUUCUACCGUUCAAUUCCCUCCCUCUGGUUCGAACAAAGAGUUCUUCUUGGUGGUGCAAUUCUCCUCGGCAAGCUUCCCUCUCAAUGAUGAUUUGGUUGCUAUUGCCCUCCAAUGCUGUAUUGGGGGUCUCCCUUCUGGGCUCAAUGUGACACAUAUUGAUGGAAGAAGAUUUCGUUUUUCUGUGGCUUCCAAUAAAGUUGGGCAUUACAUCUAUGGUCUCAAGGACAGAGUAUGGCCGGAUUUUGUUUGCCACCUCAGUCUUUUCCGUCAGAGCAAAACUGGUAUUUUGGCAUUGGAUUCAUCAUGGCAUCUUGAUUCUCACAUUCCUGAGGUGGCUGCUCGUUCUCCUAUUGCUAUCAAGUCUAAAUACAAGUUCUCUUCACAUCAAGACAAGGUUAUGAGCACGCCAAGUACAGUUUUAUCUAAAUUUGGUUUUCCCCCUACGGUGGGAUUGGUUUCCAGCUUUGAUCCGUCGCCGGACGGCUCAUCGCCGGCAGCUUAG